AGAGAGUCAGAGUUUUGAUUUUCGACUGUAAAGAGAAGCUCCAAGACCCCUUUGGCUCUUUUUUUCAAUACUUUGAAAAAGAAAGUUUCAAUGUUGUUUCAUUACAAUAUUAUUACUCUUCUUAAAGAUGGAAUGGAUAUGGUUUUGGAUAACCCUCUCUCUCUCUCUCUCUCUCUCUCUCUCUCUCUCUCUGUGGAGCCUCUUCUGUUCACAAAUGCAGUCUCUGAAAACAACAAUUCUGGGCUCUUGAAGCAGAAUUUUCUUGGAUUUUUUCUGGAAGAGAAAUAAGGCUUCUUCUGGUGCUGACAGCAAGUUUGGUGGUGGAGCAUGGGGGGGGCUAUGGCUGCAAUUUCCUGGAACGUUGAAGAAUCAUGCUUUCAAGUGUUUUUGCUGAGAAAGUUUGUGGAGAAAGUUGUUUUCUUGGACUCAAAAUGUGAGGGGUGGACUGGUAGAGGAAAUCCCAUUUCCAAAUUCCACCACUUGUUGCAGCAAGUUCUGAUCUCCUUCCUCAUGAUCUGCUUCUUUGGCUUUUGAUGGUGUUGGUGGUGUUCGUGAUAUUGGCUGGACGGCUCAAUCUUUCUGUAUUUUUUUAGGAUUUAAUAAUUUGUUUUAUUUUCCUUUAUUUUGCUUUAUUUUCACUCAUUAAUUAAGUUUUUGGCUCCUCAUUCUGUUUA